rnacentral:rRNA from 1 species
UACGUAGGGUGCAAGCGUUGUCCGGAAUUAUUGGGCGUAAAGAGCUCGUAGGUGGUUUGUCGCGUCUGCUGUGAAAACUCAGGGCUUAACCCUGAGCUUGCAGUGGGUACGGGCAGACUAGAGUGCGGUAGGGGAGACUGGAAUUCCUGGUGUAGCGGUGAAAUGCGCAGAUAUCAGGAGGAACACCGGUGGCGAAGGCGAGUCUCUGGGCCGUAACUGACACUCAGGGACGAAAGCUAGGGGAGCGAAUGGG